CACGUAAGUUGCGAGCGUUGUUCGGAAUUAUUGGGCGUAAAGGGUAUGUAGGCGGCUGUGAAAGCUUGGUGUGAAAGGCAGGGGCUCAACCCCUGGACUGCAUUGAGAACUGCACGGCUAGAAUUACUGAAGGGCAGCCAGAAUUCCAGGUGUAGGGGUGAAAUCUGUAGAUAUCUGGAAGAAUACCAAUGGCGAAGGCAGGCUGCUGGCAGAUGAUUGACGCUGAGGUACGAAAGUGCGGGGAG
rnacentral:rRNA from 1 species